rnacentral:lncRNA from 1 species
UUAAACCGAUAUAAUGGGGAUUAGGAUUAAGGGUGUUCCGUAUACCUUUCUGAAGUGCAAUCUGAAGAGACAAGUCUGCAGUAGGAGCAGGGUCAGGUGCAGGACGUGAAUUAACCGGGUCGGAUGCUGGACGAGGACGACGAUGAUAUGUCAAGAGUGGAAUGUCUGUCGCAGGGAGUCUAGGAGGAGCCACACUAGACUCUCCAACGGUUGGAAUGGG